rnacentral:rRNA from 1 species
AUUGAACGCUGGCGGCAGGCCUAACACAUGCAAGUCGAGCGAGCGGCGGACGGGUGAGUACUGUCUGGGAAACUGCCUGAUGGAGGGGGAUAACUACUGGAAACGGUAGCUAAUACCGCAUACCAUCAGAUGUGCCCAGAUGGGAUUAGCUAGUAUGUGGGGUAACGGCUCACCUCGGCGACGAUCCCUAGCUGGUCUGAGAGGAUGACCAGCGAAACUGGAACGGAAACACGGGCCAGACUCCUACGGGGGGCAGCAGUGGGGAAUAUUGCACAAGGGGCGCAAGGAUGAUGCAGCCAUGCCGCGUGUGUGAAGAAGGCCUUCGGGUUGUAAAGCACGUUCAGCGGGGAGGAGUUAACCGCAGAAGAAGCACCGGCUAACUCCGUGCCAGCAGCCGCGGUAAGUC